rnacentral:tRNA from 1 species
GGUUCCGUGGCCCAGUGGUUAGCGUGUUUGACUCGUAAGCAAGCUUUCCGGGUUCAAUCCCUGGCCGAGUCU